UACGUAGGGGGCAAGCGUUAUCCGGAUUUAUUGGGCGUAAAGCGCGCGUAGGUGGCCACAUAAGUCCGUUGUGAAAGUCAAAGGCUCAACCUUUGAAAGCCGAUGGAUACUGUGUGGCUAGAGUACGGAAGAGGCGAGUGGAAUUCCUGGUGUAGCGGUGGAAUGCGCAGAUAUCAGGAGGAACACCAAUAGCGAAGGCAGCUCGCUGGGACGUUACUGACACUGAGGCGCGAAAGCGUGGGGAGCGAACAGG
rnacentral:rRNA from 1 species